GACGAACGCUGGCGGCGUGCUUAACACAUGCAAGUCGAGCGGUAAGGCCCUUUCGGGGGUACACGAGCGGCGAACGGGUGAGUAACACGUGGGUGACCUGCCCUCAGCUCUGGGAUAAGCCUGGGAAACCGGGUCUAAUACUGGAUAUGACUCCAUGACGCAUGUUGUGGGGUGGAAAGCCUUGUGCGGCUGAGGAUGGGCCCGCGGCCUAUCAGCUUGUUGGUGGGGUGAUGGCCUACCAAGGCGACGACGGGUAGCCGGCCUGAGAGGGCGACCGGCCACACUGGGACUGAGACACGGCCCAGACUCCUACGGGAGGCAGCAGUGGGGAAUCUUGCGCAAUGGGCGAAAGCCUGACGCAGCGACGCCGCGUGAGGGAUUACGGCCU
rnacentral:rRNA from 1 species